UAGGGAAUAUUGGACAAUGGGGGCAACCCUGAUCCAGCCAUGCCGCGUGAGUGAAGAAGGCCCUCGGGUUGUAAAGCUCUUUUGUCCGGAAAGAAAAGCUUCGGGUUAAUACCCCGGGGUUCUGACGGUACCGGAAGAAUAAGCACCGGCUAACUUCGUGCCAGCAGCCGCGGUAAUACGAAGGGUGCAAGCGUUACUCGGAAUUACUGGGCGUAAAGCGUGCGUAGGUGGUUGUUUAAGUCUGAUGUGAAAGCCCUGGGCUCAACCUGGGAAUGGCAUUGGAAACUGGGCAGCUAGAGUGCGGUAGAGGGUAGUGGAAUUCCCGGUAUGGCAGUGAAAUGCGUAGAGAUCGGGAGGAACAUCUGUGGCGAAGGCGACUGCCUGGACCAGCACUGACACUGAGGCACGAAAGCGUGGGGAGCAAAC
rnacentral:rRNA from 1 species